AGCUGCUCUGCUUCUUCAAGAUCUUUAAAUUUGGGUUUCCCCACAGCCAGACCUUUCUCAAACUGCUUAGCUUUUUUUUCCUAGUACACCCACAUAAUUACUCCAGCACAAAGAGUGGGCUUGUGAAGCAGCAGCAUUUUAAAAAACCACAAACUCUGAUCUCAAGGCAAUCUUUCCCUCCCACUUCCUCCCCCUUCAAGCAGGGGUGUCAGCCGUGCUGUUUCUUUCAAACUUUCUCUGAGUCAUCUCAUCAGGCAGCUUGUAAAUACUUGAAUGCAUCCAUCAAUGUCAAGUCAAAGGAUGCAGAGAAUUUAGGGGUGACCUUAUCUUCCUGUAUUAUCAGCAUACAUACAGACAUGUCAUCAAAGAUGUUGUCUCAUCAUGAGAACAAGACACCAGAAAUAAGGAAAAGCUAUCACAUCUCAUUAUGUAGAUUCUGCUCACUAAGUGGGAAUAAUUGGCUACUGGAAUGACACUACUUUAG
rnacentral:lncRNA from 1 species